rnacentral:rRNA from 1 species
UAACACGUGGGCAACCUGCCCCUCUCAUUGGGAUAGCCACGGGAAACCGUGGAUAAUACCGAAUACUUCGGGACUUCCGCAUGGAAGACUCGAGAAAGUUCCGGCGGAGAGGGAUGGGCCCGCGGCCUGUUAGCUUGUUGGCGGGGUAACGGCCUACCAAGGCAAUGAUGGGUAGCUGGGUUGAGAGACCGACCAGCCAGAUUGGGACUGAGACACGGCCCAGACUCCUACGGGAGGCAGCCGUUGGGAAUCUUGCACAAUGGGCGAAAGCUGAUGCAGCGACGCCGCGUGCGGGAUGAAGGCCUUCGGGUUGUAAACCCCUUUCAGCAGGGACGAGGCGAAAGUGACGGUACCUGCAGAAGAAGCCCCGGCUAACUACGUGCCAGCAGCCGCGGUAAUACGUAGGGGGCAAGCGUUAUCCGGAUUCAUUGGGCGUAAAGCGCUCGUAGGCGGUCUGUUAGGUCGGGAGUUAAAUCCGGGGCUCAACCCCCGUUCGCUCCCGAUACCGGCAGACUUGAGUUUGGUAGGGGAAGGUGGAAUUCCUAGUGUAGCGGUGGAAUGCGCAGAUAUUAGGAAGAACACCAGUGGCGAAGGCGGCCUUCUGGGCCAUAACUGACGCUGAGGAGCGAAAGCUAGGGGAGCAAACAGGAUUAGAUACCCUGGUAGUCCUAGCCGUAAACGAUGGACACUGGGUGUGGGGGAAUAUUUCUUCCGUGCCG